UACGUAGGCAGCGAGCGUUGUUCGGAGUUACUGGGCGUAAAGGGUGUGUAGGCGGUUCUCUAAGUUUGGUGUGAAAUCUCCCGGCUCAACCGGGAGGGUGCGCCGAAAACUGGAGGGCUAGAGUGCGGGAAGGGAGAGUAGAAUUCCUGGUGUAGCGGUGAAAUGCGUAGAUAUCAGGAGGAACACCGGUGGCGAAGGCGGAUCUCUGGGCCAUUACUGACGCUGAGGAGCGAAAGCGUGGGGAGCGAACAGG
rnacentral:rRNA from 1 species